rnacentral:rRNA from 1 species
AUUGAACGCUGGCGGCAGGCCUAACACAUGCAAGUCGAGCGGAUGACGGGAGCUUGCUCCUUGAUUCAGCGGCGGACGGGUGAGUAAUGCCUAGGAAUCUGCCUGGUAGUGGGGGACAACGUUUCGAAAGGAACGCUAAUACCGCAUACGUCCUACGGGAGAAAGCAGGGGACCUUCGGGCCUCGCGCUAUCAGAUGAGCCUAGGUCGGAUUAGCUAGUAGGUGAGGUAAUGGCUCACCUAGGCGACGAUCCGUAACUGGUCUGAGAGGAUGAUCAGUCACACUGGAACUGAGACACGGUCCAGACUCCUACGGGAGGCAGCAGUGGGGAAUAUUGGACAAUGGGCGAAAGCCUGAUCCAGCCAUGCCGCGUGUGUGAAGAAGGUCUUCGGAUUGUAAAGCACUUUAAGUUGGGAGGAAGGGCAGUAAGCGAAUACCUUGCUGUUUUGACGUUACCGACAGAAUAAGCACCGGCUAACUCUGUGCCAGCCGCCGCCGUAAGAC